UCGGAAUUAUUGAAGUGAUAAGGUUUUCAUAAGUCAAAAGGUGAAAUGAUGAGAUGAAAGGUGUCAAAUUUUGAUACAAUAAGGCUAAAUCAUUGAAAAUAAGGAAUUUUCAUCAACCUUAUCACUUUGCACGACCAUUACUCUGAAAAACAGAGAGAAAAGAAAACCAAAAACCAUUUCUUGGCUGGUUUGAAGAAAUUCUAAGGAGAUCCAAGUGAAAGCAAAGCCAAAGAAGUAGAUUAAGCUUAGUUCUAGCAUUUUUAUGAUAUCUCUUGGUGGUUUCCAAGUGGUUUGAGGUUUAGAAAAGCUAGAAGAGAUUGUUUUCGCCGAAAAGUUGCUCAGAUAAGCACAUCAAUACCUAAGACACCACUUGUUACACGGUGAAUUAUAUUUUGGACAGAAGGUAGAGAAAGAAAUUUGUGAAUGACAUGAGGAGAACUGAAGCAUGGUCCUGACCCUGAUUCGUACAUAUGAACAUAUCGACAUUUUGUGGGUUAUUUCAGUUAUCAGUGAGAUGUUUGUAAUAAAGUGUGAAGUUAUGUUUUGAAAAUAAAUUGGGUUAUUUAAUACUUAUGUAUAAUAUGUUUGAGACAUACUUUAUGUUUAAUGUAAAUAAUGUGAAAUAAGUUUUCAAGUUUAAAAAAA